GAUGAACGCUGGCGGCGUGCCUAAUACAUGCAAGUCGAGCGAACGGACGAGAAGCUUGCUUCUCUGAUGUUAGCGGCGGACGGGUGAGUAACACGUGGAUAACCUACCUAUAAGACUGGGAUAACUUCGGGAAACCGGAGCUAAUACCGGAUGAUAUUUUGAACCGCAUGGUUCAAAAGUGAAAGACGGUCUUGCUGUCACUUAUAGAUGGAUCCGCGCUGCAUUAGCUAGUUGGUAAGGUAACGGCUUACCAAGGCAACGAUGCAUAGCCGACCUGAGAGGGUGAUCGGCCACACUGGAAAUGAGACACGGUCCAGAAUCCUAAGGGAGGCAGCAGUAGGGAAUCUUCCGAAAUGGGCGAAAGCCUGACGGAGCAAAGCCGCGUGAGUGAUGAAGGUCUUCGGAUCGUAAAACUCUGUUAUUAGGGAAGAACAUAUGUGUAAGUAACUGUGCACAUCUUGACGGUACCUAAUCAGAAAGCCACGGCUAACUACGUG
rnacentral:rRNA from 1 species